ensembl:lncRNA
GAUUUUAAACCUGCUCAUCAGCAUGCUUGCUCUUCAGGAAAUAAACCCAAGGGACAACAGGACAUGAGCUCAAUGCAUGGACUCUCAGCUGGUCAGCUGAUUUGUGCAGAACCAGGGAACCUGCAUUUUCUACCAGAUGUGUCAGAAGAGCUGUUAAGAUUUGAUAGUGACUGGAAUGACAAAUGCAACAAGAGAAAGAGGGCUUGUAGUGAGAGAAAACUGUUGAAAACUGUGGAGUUUCCAUUGGACAGCACAAGCUUUGAGGGCUCAGAACCACCACAGGUCUGGAAUACAGGGUCAGCAGCUCUGGGAAAGAAGGCAGAUCGCUGAAGCAGGAGCUGCAAUAUGUGUGUGGAGACGUGGAAAAGACAGAUAUUUCUCCAUGUAGUGCUUGGAAAACAAAACAACAGCAGCAAGGAUCAGGAGGGAUACGGGAGGAGCGAUCUUAAGUGGUGCAUUUCCCACAGCCCCGGCAGAGGGAGGAUGUGGAGCUGAGGAAGCCAGAGGGGAGGGCUGCCCUGGGCAUGGUGCCUCGGGCAGGAGCUGGCCAGGGCCCUGGCUGGCAGCCACAUGGAGCUGUCCACCAGUACAUUCCUUCCACAGCAGGAGAGAUGCAGGAAGGGGGCUGCAGUCCUGAGACACAUCCCUUGUCUCCCUCUUUCUUGUUUCCUUGCUAAGCAUGCUGGUCAGAGAUAGCAAAUGAGACAAAUGGGCCAACGAGCAACUAUUAAUAUACUUUGUUCUCUUAGGCCCUUUUUAUUUUCACAGAAGGCAAAGGCCAAAGGCUUUUUAUCUGCAUGGUUUUGUUCAGUAGAAAACUGUAGAACCAUGACCAGCAAGGUCUAACACAUUUCUUAGCAAUCAUUUAUUUUAAAGAAAAUGAAAAAUUUGUCAUUAAAGGACAAUGGGAAAAUUACAGAUUUAAGAGGUUCUCCUCAUACAGAUGAUGCACUUGUAGGUUAUUCUUGUCUCCUGCCAGAGAUGACCCAAGGCUUGUCCAUGUGCUUUGACUCUCCAGCACUUGCCUUGCUUUGUCAAGACAGAAAAAUCUUUGGGCGUUCAAACUUUUCAAGUGAGCAUUCCCUUCAAAUAAUAACGCAUAAUAACACCAUGCUCCACUAAGGGGAACAGAGUCAUAGAACCAUGCAAUCACAGAAUGGCCUGAGUUGGAAGGGACCUUUAAAGCUCACAGAAGUUCCAAUCCCCCUGCUGCAGACAGGGAUACCCUUCACUAGACCAGGUUGCUCAGACCCCCAGCCAACAUUGCCUUAAACACUUCCAGGGACGGGGCAUCCACAAGUUCUCUGGGCAACCUGUGCCAGUGCCUCACCACCCUCAUAGUAGAGAAUUUCUUCCUACUAUCUAAUCUAAACCUAUCAUCUUUCAGAUUGAAGCCAUUCCCCUUUGUCCUGUCACUGGAUGCCCUUUCAAGAAGACCCUCUCCAUCUUUUCUGUAACUCCCUUCCAGUACUGGAAAGCCACAAUCAGGCCACCCCAAAACCUUCUCUUUUUCCAGGCUGAACAAAACCAACUCCCUCAAGCUUUCCUCAUAGGAGAGGUGCUCCAUCCUUUGGAUCAUCUUGGUGGCCUCCUCCGGGCUCCGGACAGGUCCAUGUGUUGACGACUGCCUGAUGCAGUGCUCAUGUUACAGACACUGUCACAUCAUUAAGAUGAGAAAUCAAAAUCAAUCCUUCACACAAACAAUUUAUUACAAUUUGGUUUGCUACAUGUUAAUUUAGUUUACUAUAAGUAAAUCUCUUUCUGCUUUGUUUGCACCUUUUAAGACAUGCUAUCUAAGCCCAUGAGAUUUAGCUGUAGAGAAGGAGUAAAACCAAAACUUAACAAAUCUCAACCACAUUGAUUUUUGUAGGGAAAUUUUUAAUAUAUCCAGAAGAUCCCUAGGUUAAUCACUAUAUUUACAGGUUUUACCUUAAAUUAAUUAAAUUAGCUUUUAAAAUGUUAUUUUGAUUUGCUUUUUUCUCUUCAGAAGAAGACACAGAUAUAAACUACUCGGGUAAAGACUACUGGUGUCUUUAAUAAUAAUAAUAAUAAUAUUAAAAAUAUAGACAUGAGCAAUAUGUUAAUUCAGCUUUAAAUAUUUUGCCAUUACUGCAUUGCCAGUCCCCAUAUGCAAGUCUGUCUGCACUGAACACAAGAGAUGUAGGAGAGCCUGUGCAUCUUUGUGCCUGGGGAGGCACUUUGCUGUCCCAGCAGCGCUCACAUCAACAGCUCCAGGCUGCUGCUGCAGCCAGGCAGGGCUGGGACACAGGCUGUUCUCUGCAGGAGGCACAAAGCUGCUUCACCAGGGCACAGCUGCCUGCUCAAGCCACCAAAGCCCACAUUAAUAAAACAUUGAUAUUUGGCUUUUUAAAAAUGCA